CAAAGAGCAACCUCCCUGUGGCCACCCGCCCCAUAAAUCAUCAGCUACCAAGGGCUACUGAAUUACCUUUAGAAGAUGGAUGACUCCGGAGCUGGAAGGCUGCUUGAUAAGGGUUCCCUUUGAAUAAUUCUAUGUAGAAAGCUGGGUUUGAGAAAUGGGGUCGAUCUAGCAGCUCAGCUCCAUCCAUGCUGCCUCUGCCAGGUGCUUUCAAGAUAAACACGUUUCCUUAUGGGCUGCCAGAGCGUCUGCGACGAAGGAAGAAAACUUACUGCCAGGUCUCAGGGAAGUAUCUACUUCUGCCCAAGGCACAAAAGGGAG
rnacentral:lncRNA from 1 species